rnacentral:rRNA from 1 species
AGCUUGCUCCACCGAAAGAAAAGGAGUGGCGAACGGGUGAGUAACACGUGGGUAACCUGCCCAUCAGAAGGGGAUAACACUUGGAAACAGGUGCUAAUACCGUAUAACAAUAGAAACCGCAUGGUUUCUAUUUGAAAGGCGCUUUUGCGUCACUGAUGGAUGGACCCGCGGUGCAUUAGCUAGUUGGUGAGGUAACGGCUCACCAAGGCAACGAUGCAUAGCCGACCUGAGAGGGUGAUCGGCCACAUUGGGACUGAGACACGGCCCAAACUCC